GAUGAACGCUGGCGGCGUGCCUAAUACAUGCAAGUCGAGCGAACGAACGAUAAGCUUGCUUCUCUGAUUUUAGCGGCGGACGUGUGAAUAACCCGUGGAUAACCUACCUAUAAGACUGGGAUACCUUCGGGACACCGGAUCUAAUACCGGAUAAUCUUUUGCACCGCAUGGUUCAAAAGUGAAAGCCGGUCUUUCUGUCACUUAUAGAUGGAUCCGCGCUGCAUUAGCUAGUUGGUAAGGUAACGGCUUACCAAGGCAACGAUGCAUAGCCGACCUGAGAGGGGGAUAGGCCACACGGGAACUGAGACACGGGCAAGAGGCCUACGGGAGGCAGCAGGAGGGAAUCUGGCGAAAUGGGCGAAAGCCUGACGGAGCAACGCCGCGGGAGUGAUGAAGGUCUUCGGAGCGGAAAACUGUGUUAUGAGGGAAGAACAUAUGUGAAAGGAAAUGUGCAGAUCUUGACGGUACCUAAACAGAAAGCCACGGCUAACUACGUG
rnacentral:rRNA from 1 species